CUUAUGCGUUGUUGGGUAGGGGAGCGUUCUGUAAGCCUGUGAAGGUGUGCUGUGAGGCAUGCUGGAGGUAUCAGAAGUGCGAAUGCUGACAUAAGUAACGAUAAAGCGGGUGAAAAGCCCGCUCGCCGGAAGACCAAGGGUUCCUGUCCAACGUUAAUCGGGGCAGGGUGAGUCGACCCCUAAGGCGAGGCCGAAAGGCGUAGUCGAUGGGAAACAGGUUAAUAUUCCUGUACUUGGUGUUACUGCGAAGGGGGGACGGAGAAGGCUAUGUUGGCCGGGCGACGGUUGUCCCGGUUUAAGCGUGUAGGCUGGUUUUCCAGGCAAAUCCGGAAAACCAAGGCUGAGGCGUGAUGACGAGGCACUACGGUGCUGAAGCAACAAAUGCCCUGCUUCCAGGAAAAGCCUCUAAGCAUCAGGUAACAUCAAAUCGUACCCCAAACCGACACAGGUGGUCAGGUAGAGAAUACCAAGGCGCUUGAGAGAACUCGGGUGAAGGAACUAGGCAAAAUGGUGCCGUAACUUCGGGAGAAGGCACGCUGAUAUGUAGGUGAAGCGACUUGCUCGUGGAGCUGAAAUCAGUCGAAGAUACCAGCUGGCUGCAACUGUUUAUUAAAAACACAGCACUGUGCAAACACGAAAGUGGACGUAUACGGUGUGACGCCUGCCCGGUGCCGGAAGGUUAAUUGAUGGGGUUAGCGGUAACGCGAAGCUCUUGAUCGAAGCCCCGGUAAACGGCGGCCGUAACUAUAACGGUCCUAAGGUAGCGAAAUUCCUUGUCGGGUAAGUUCCGACCUGCACGAAUGGCGUAAUGAUGGCCAGGCUGUCUCCACCCGAGACUCAGUGAAAUUGAACUCGCUGUGAAGAUGCAGUGUACCCGCGGCAAGACGGAAAGACCCCGUGAACCUUUACUAUAGCUUGACACUGAACAUUGAGCCUUGAUGUGUAGGAUAGGUGGGAGGCUUUGAAGUGUGGACGCCAGUCUGCAUGGAGCCGACCUUGAAAUACCACCCUUUAAUGUUUGAUGUUCUAACGUUGGCCCGUAAUCCGGGUUGCGGACAGUGUCUGGUGGGUAGUUUGACUGGGGCGGUCUCCUCCUAAAGAGUAACGGAGGAGCACGAAGGUUGGCUAAUCCUGGUCGGACAUCAGGAGGUUAGUGCAAUGGCAUAAGCCAGCUUGACUGCGAGCGUGACGGCGCGAGCAGGUGCGAAAGCAGGUCAUAGUGAUCCGGUGGUUCUGAAUGGAAGGGCCAUCGCUCAACGGAUAAAAGGUACUCCGGGGAUAACAGGCUGAUACCGCCCAAGAGUUCAUAUCGACGGCGGUGUUUGGCACCUCGAUGUCGGCUCAUCACAUCCUGGGGCUGAAGUAGGUCCCAAGGGUAUGGCUGUUCGCCAUUUAAAGUGGUACGCGAGCUGGGUUUAGAACGUCGUGAGACAGUUCGGUCCCUAUCUGCCGUGGGCGCUGGAGAACUGAGGGGGGCUGCUCCUAGUACGAGAGGACCGGAGUGGACGCAUCACUGGUGUUCGGGUUGUCAUGCCAAUGGCACUGCCCGGUAGCUAAAUGCGGAAGAGAUAAGUGCUGAAAGCAUCUAAGCACGAAACUUGCCCCGAGAUGAGUUCUCCCUGAGACUUAGAGUCUCCUGAAGGAACGUUGAAGACGACGACGUUGAUAGGCCGGGUGUGUAAGCGCAGCGAUGCGUUGAGCUAACCGGUACUAAUGAACCGUGAGGCUUAACCUU
rnacentral:rRNA from 1 species